AUAGAUGAUAUAAUAAGCCACCUGAACCUACACCCCGUCUCUUCACGGUUUAGACUUACUAAAAUAAAUACAAGGUGAUUGUCAUCUGCAGGUAGAGUGAAGCCUUUUAAAUAAGGCAUCACACGUGCAGCUUCUCCACCUUAAUUACGUGGAUAGUGAUUUUCCCACCAUUACUUUAUUUUGGUGAUAAUAUGCUGCAUAUUCAAGUCUUGUAGUUAUUUUCACUCAAAAUAGUUAACAUUUUGAUGCUUCUGAUGAUAUUCGUGGCUUCAUUUUAUAUAAUUAUUUAAUAAGUAAGUUCUACUAGAAACAAUUCAUGCCUUCAAAACUACUACUUAUUCUUUAAAAAACAAAGUUGCUUGUUACUUGUUCUUUGUGUUUUAGGUGCAGCUCAGUGGAAGAUGAUGACAACCAGAAGACAUGAGCUAAGGGUAAGGGACUGUUCUUCUGAAGAACCUUUCCAUUUAGUGGUCAAGAUAUUGAAGCUGAUCUCUGAAAAUUCUCAGUGUCUUUGAAGGGCCAAGCAAAUACCCAAGUUCAAAAUGAUAGAUUUGUGAAGAUGGGAAGAGAGAAGAAAAAGGUACCAAAAUGGGAAGGACUAAGAAGAAAAUCACUUCAAAACUAUAACUUUUAUGACUAUUAAUUCAACAAAGAAGUAACUAUAUAGCAAUCAAUUACAUUGUUUAUUGAUGAUGGAAUUACACUGGAAAACAAUCACAAUCUUCUGAAUAGGAUAGUUUGGUUAACUAAAAUAUUUAUUUGAAACAACAUACAAAAGAUUGUCAAGUAUGGCAGUGU
rnacentral:lncRNA from 1 species